rnacentral:rRNA from 1 species
AACGAACGCUGGCGGCAGGCCUAACACAUGCAAGUCGAACGGACCCUUCGGGGUUAGUGGCGCACGGGCGAGUAACACGUGGGAAUAUGCCCUUGGGUAAGGAAAAACAGUUGGAAACGACUGCUAAUACCUUAUAACAUCGCGAGAUCAAAGAUUUAUCGCCCAAGGAUUAGCCCGCGUUAGAUUAGGUAGUUGGUGGGGUAAUAGCCUACCAAGCCUACGAUCUAUAGCUGGUCUUAGAGGAUGACCAGCCACACUGGGACUGAGACACGGCCCAGACUCCUACGGGAGGCAGCAGUGAGGAAUAUUGGACAAUGGGCGAAAGCCUGAUCCAGCCAUGCCGCGUGAAUGAUGAAGGCCUUAGGGUUGUAAAGUUCUUUUAGUAGUGAAGAUGAUGACGGUAACUACAGAAGAAGCUCCGGCUAACUUCGUGCCAGCCGCCGCGGUAA